rnacentral:rRNA from 1 species
GACGAACGCUGGCGGCGUGCCUAAUACAUGCAAGUAGAACGCUGAAGAGAGGAGCUUGCUCUUCUUGGAUGAGUUGCGAACGGGUGAGUAACGCGUAGGUAACCUGCCUUGUAGCGGGGGAUAACUAUUGGAAACGAUAGCUAAUACCGCAUAACAAUGGAUGACACAUGUCAUUUAUUUGAAAGGGGCAAUUGCUCCACUACAAGAUGGACCUGCGUUGUAUUAGCUAGUAGGUGAGGUAAUGGCUCACCUAGGCGACGAUACAUAGCCGACCUGAGAGGGUGAUCCGCCACAAUAGAACUAGGACACGGCCCACAUUGCUACGAGUGGCAGCAGUAGCGAAUCUUCGGCAAUGGGGGCAACCCUGACCAAGAAACGCCGCGUGAGUAAAGAAGGUUUUCCGAUCGUAAAGCACUGUUGUAAGUCAAGAACGGAUGUGAGAGUGGAAAGUUCACACUGUGACGGUAGCUUACCAGAAAGGGACGGCUAGAUACAUG